rnacentral:lncRNA from 1 species
CUUACUUAUUAUAUAAAAAAAAUAAUAUUUUAAUAUAUUUCUAUCAUUUUUAAGAGUAUUUUUGAAAUAAAUUUUAAAAAAUAGACGGAAUAUUAGUGAUGGAACCCUAAUAUAGGGAGGCUAAAUAUGUCGACUUGAAAUUUUGCGUUGCUAAAAUAUAGAUUUUUGAAAGCUAGAGAGAAAAGGUAAAAAAAAAAUAGAUAUUUAUAGAAAAGCUUUCUGUAUUUUAGCAUGACUUAUUUUUGAUGCUCACCAAAU